rnacentral:rRNA from 1 species
GAUGAACGCUGGCGGCGUGCCUAAUACAUGCAAGUCGAGCGAACAGACGAGGAGCUUGCUCCUCUGACGUUAGCGGCGGACGGGUGAGUAACACGUGGAUAACCUACCUAUAAGACUGGGAUAACUUCGGGAAACCGGAGCUAAUACCGGAUAAUAUAUUGAACCGCAUGGUUCAAUAGUGAAAGACGGUUUUGCUGUCACUUAUAGAUGGAUCCGCGCCGCAUUAGCUAGUUGGUAAGGUAACGGCUUACCAAGGCAACGAUGCGUAGCCGACCUGAGAGGGUGAUCGGCCACACUGGAACUGAGACACGGUCCAGACUCCUACGGGAGGCAGCAGUAGGGAAUCUUCCGCAAAGGGCGAAAGCCUGACGGAGCAACGCCGCGUGAGUGAUGAAGGUCUUCGGAUCGUAAAACUCUGUUAUUAGGGAAGAACAAAUGUGUAAGUAACUAUGCACGUCUUGACGGUACCUAAUCAGAAAGCCACUGCUAACUACGUG